UACGGAGGGUGCAAGCAUUAAUCGGAAUUAUUGGGCGUAAAGGGCGCGUAGGCGGGGAUGUGUGUCAGAUGUGAAAUCCCGGAGCUCAACUCCGGAACUGCAUUUGAAACUGCAUCUCUUGAGGAUAGGAGGAGAAAAUGGAAUUCCACAAGUAGCGGUAAAAUGCGUAGAUAUGUGGAAGAACACCAGUGGCGAAGGCGGUUUUCUAUCUUAUACCUGACGCUGAGGCGCGAAAGCAAGGGGAUCAAACAGG
rnacentral:rRNA from 1 species